GACGAACGCUGGCGGCGUGCUUAACACAUGCAAGUCGAACGGAAAGGCCCUGCUUUUGUGGGGUGCUCGAGUGGCGAACGGGUGAGUAACACGUGAGUAACCUGCCCUUGACUUUGGGAUAACUUCAGGAAACUGGGGCUAAUACCGGAUAGGAGCUCCUGCUGCAUGGUGGGGGUUGGAAAGUUUCGGCGGUUGGGGAUGGACUCGCGGCUUAUCAGCUUGUUGGUGGGGUAGUGGCUUACCAAGGCUUUGACGGGUAGCCGGCCUGAGAGGGAGACCGGCCACAUUGGGACUGAGAUACGGCCCAGACUCCUACGGGAGGCAGCAGUGGGGAAUAUUGCACAAUGGGCGGAAGCCUGAUGCAGCAACGCCGCGUGCGGGAUGACGGCCUUCGGGUUGUAAACCGCUUUCGCCUGUGACGAAGCGUGAGUGACGGUAAUGGGUAAAGAAGCACCGGCUAACUACGUGCCAGCAGCCGCGGUGAUACGUAGGGUGCGAGCGUUGUCCGGAUUUAUUGGGCGUAAAGGGCUCGUAGGUGGUUGAUCGCGUCGGAAGUGUAAUCUUGGGGCUUAACCCUGAGCGUGCUUUCGAUACGGGUUGACUUGAGGAAGGUAGGGGAGAAUGGAAUUCCUGGUGGAGCGGUGGAAUGCGCAGAUAUCAGGAGGAACACCAGUGGCGAAGGCGGUUCUCUGGGCCUUUCCUGACGCUGAGGAGCGAAAGCGUGGGGAGCGAACAGGCUUAGAUACCCUGGUAGUCCACGCUGUAAACGGUGGGUACUAGGUGUGGGGUCCAUUCCACGGGUUCCGUGCCGUAGCUAACGCUUUAAGUACCCCGCCUGGGGAGUACGGCCGCAAGGCUAAAACUCAAAGGAAUUGACGGGGCCCCGCACAAGCGGCGGAGCAUGCGGAUUAAUUCGAUGCAACGCGUAGAACCUUACCUGGGUUUGACAUGGAUCGGGAGUGCUCAGAGAUGGGUGUGCCUCUUUUGGGGUCGGUUCACAGGUGGUGCAUGCCUGUCGUCAGCUCGUGUCGUGAGAUGUUGGGUUAAGUCCCGCAACGAGCGCAACCCUUGUUCACUGUUGCCAGCACGUUAUGGUGGGGACUCAGUGGAGACCGCCGGGGUCAACUCGGAGGAAGGUGGGGAUGACGUCAAGUCCUCAUGCCCCUUAUGUCCAGGGCUUCACGCAUGCUACAAUGGCUGGUACAGAGAGUGGCGAGCCUGUGAGGGUGAGCGAAUCUCGGAAAGCCGGUCUCAGUUCGGAUUGGGGUCUGCAACUCGACCUCAUGAAGUCGGAGUCGCUAGUAAUCGCAGAUCAGCAACGCUGCGGUGAAUACGUUCCCGGG
rnacentral:rRNA from 1 species